GGCAGCAUGCUGCUGCUGCCCAUCCUGCUUGCAGCUUCUUCUUGGUCCCGUGGAGACGCGCAGGCAGUGCCGGUGCAAAGCCCGCCGAUGCGGAGGCAGGUGAAGGGCAGCUCGGCCAGAAUGGAGUGCCGGCUGAGCAGUGAUGCCGUCGUGCACUGGUACAAGCAGCUUCCCGGAGAGCCACCCAAGAGAAUACUGUACGUGUCAGGAAAGACUCCCACGUUUGAUGAUGGCACAGAUGGACGAAAGUAUCAAGUGUGGAAACAUGCCUCUGAACCUCGCUAUAGUCUCACAAUAGAUUUCUUAACUGAGAGGGACACUGGCACAUACUACUGUGCAUACUGGUAUUUAUAUCAAGGCAUCACAGCGUUAGAUGGGCCAAGAUAA